rnacentral:rRNA from 1 species
GAUGAACGCUGACAGAAUGCUUAACACAUGCAAGUCUUUGGCGAAGCUGUGCUUGCACAGCCUAGCCCAGGCGGACGGGUGAGUAACGCGUAAGGAACUUGCCCUGCAGUCAGGGCUAACAUACGGACACGACUGAUAAGACCAGGUCAAGUCAGGCGGACUCCUGUCCAGCCUGAUGAAAAGAGAUGCUGCAGGAGAGCCUUGCGUCCUAUUAGCUUGUUGGUUGGGUAACGGCCCACCAAGCGGAUGAUAGGUAGCCGGCCUGAGAGGGUGGACGGCCACAAGGGGACCGAGAUACGGCACUUACUCCUACGGGAGGCAGCAGUGGGGAAUAUUGGACAAUGGGGGCAACACUGAUCCAGCAAUUCUGUGUGCACGAUGAAGGUUUUCGGAUUGUAAAGUGCUUUCAGCAGGGAAGAAAAAAAUGACGGUACCUGCAGAAGAAGCGACGGCUAAAUACGUG